CUUUCUAUUCCUUGAUCUGUGGUCGCAUCUCUGAUUAUCCUGUUUUGACCGUGAGUCUUUUUCCGCAGGUCCCAUGUAUGGUUCGUACCUGUUUUUACCGGACCUUUUUUCGGUUUCCACCCGUCUUGAACUUAUCUUUUCUUCUUUUUGAUACCGUUAAAUAAUGUUUUCUUCGAUCCUCAGCUUCGUGAUAUACCUGUUAUAAACGCCAUUACAUGUUGUGGAUGGGAAUUCACGAAGACUUUACUUGAGUCGCCUCGUUGCCUCGGAGCUCUUUUCAUUCAAGUUACUGGUGAAAGCUAUAGCCUCCCAAUUGUCAGGUACACGCGGUAAUAUCAUUCUUUCACGUUGGAAUCUGUUCACGAAAUCUAUAAGUAAUUCUGAGUCUCCUUGUUUGAUUUUGAAAAUAUCUUCCAUUCUUCUUUCGGCUUUUUGAGCUCCCGAGUGUGCUUUGAUGAAAGAAUCUGCAAGCUCAUCAAAAGAAUUUAUAGAAUUUUCGGGUAAAAGAGGAUACUAUGUUAAUGCACCCUUAGUGAGUGUUUCACCGAAUUCUUGACCAAUACUGAUUUAAUCUCCUGUUUGGUCAAGUCAUUGCCUUUAACGCCUAUUGUGAAAGCACUAACGUGGUCUCGUAAAUCAGUUGUUCCAUCGUAUUUGGGAAUAUCAGGCAUUUUGAAUUUCUUUGGAAUAGAGAGGGGAGCAGCAUUUGGAUUCCGAGGUUGUUGUGAAUAUUUAUCCACGACUAUCCCUUCAAAUACAAGCGGUACCCCAAGUAUUUGCUCUAUGCAGUCACUUUGCUCCUUGAGUUAUUUCAACAAUGUUAGUACUAAAUUUUAUAAAUGUGAAUUGACUAAAUUACCUGGUACUCCUUUUUGUGACUCACCGGGGUUUCUACCACUUCUUGUAUUAACAAGCCCAAAACGAAGAUUUUCCAGAGUGUUGUUAUUUGGAGUAGGGUGUGAGUGGUGCAACAGGUAACUGACUAGCAAAAGCUUCAAUAUCUUUCUUGACCUGGGCAGCAAUUAGUUUUUGCAGUGCUUCAUCGAUAGCAUCAACAUUUUCAAAAUGAGUGUUUUCAUGUGCAUGAGAUCCAUAAGGAGUGCCUUCUCG
rnacentral:lncRNA from 1 species